rnacentral:rRNA from 1 species
UACGUAGGCAGCAAGCGUUGUUCGGAGUUACUGGGCGUAAAGGGUGUGUAGGCGGUUCCUUAAGUUUGCUGUGAAAUCUCCCGGCAUAACCGGGAGGGUGCGGUGAAUACUGAGGGACUAGAGUACGGGAGAGGAAAGUGGAAUUCCUGGUGUAGCGGUGAAAUGCGUAGAUAUCAGGAGGAACACCGGUGGUGUAGACGGCUUUCUGGACCGUAACUGACGCUGAGACGCGAAAGCGUGGGGAGCGAACAGG